rnacentral:rRNA from 1 species
GACGAACGCUGGCGGCGUGCCUAAUACAUGCAAGUAGAACGCUGAAGAGAGGAGCUUGCUCUUCAUGGAUGAGUUGCGAACGGGUGAGUAACGCGUAGGUAACCUGCCUUGUAGCGGGGGAUAACUAUUGGAAACGAUAGCUAAUACCGCAUAACAAUGGCUGACACAUGUCAUUUAUUUGAAAGGGGCAAUUGCUCCACUACAAGAUGGACCUGCGUUGUAUUAGCUAGUAGGUGAGGUAAUGGCUCACCUAGGCGACGAUACAUAGCCGACCUGAGAGGGGGAUCGGCCACGCUGGGACUGAGACACGGCCCAGACUCCUACGGGAGGCAGCAGUCGGGAAUCUUCGGCAAUGGGGGCAACCCUGACCGAGCAACGCCGCGUGAGUGAAGAAGGUUUUCGGAUCGUAAAGCUCUGUUGUAAGUCAAGAACGGGUGUGAGAGUGGAAAGUUCACACUGUGACGGUAGCUUACCAGAAAGGGACGGCUAACUACGUG